GAUGAACGCUAGCGGCAGGCUUAACACAUGCAAGUCGAGGGGCAGCGCGGGAUAGCACUCUCCUGGCGGCGACCGGCGGAAGGGUGCGUAACGCGUGAGCGACAUGCCCGUUGCCCGGGGACAACCGGUGGAAACGCCGACUAAUCCCCGAUGGGAUAUUGUGCCGCAUGGCACGAUAUUGAAAGUUACAGCGGAGACGGAUUGGCUCGCGUCCGAUUAGCUGGUUGGCGGGGUAACGGCCCACCAAGGCUGCGAUCGGUAGGGGUUCUGAGAGGAAGGCCCCCCACAAUGGGACUGAGACACGGCCCAUACUCCUACGGGAGGCAGCAGUGAGGAAUAUUGGUCAAUGGGCGGAAGCCUGAACCAGCCAUGCCGCGUGCGGGAAGGAGGCCCUAUGGGCUGUGAACCGCUUUUGCCUGGGGGAAAUAAGGGCGCCGCGCACGUCCGAUGAGAGUACCAGGCGAAUAAGCAUCGGCUAACUCCGUG
rnacentral:rRNA from 1 species